GAAUUUACACCAUGGAAACUGGCAAACGCUGCAAACACUGCCUCCCACCAUCACAGACAGCCAGUUAUUAAGCAUUUAUCAGCACAUUAUGUUGCCAGGGACUGUGCUCAGAGUUAUUGGGGGGAGAGGCAGUAGCAGUGUUAUGUAGUCAAGCUUAUAACUGAUAAACUGUAGUCAUUUGGAAAAACAGAAGCAACGCAGAGGAGAUGGGAGUGAACCAAGAACAUAGUAACCACCCUGAACCUCCUCAACAAACCCCAGAGGGACAUGUCCCCAGAGGAGAUGCAGAAGCACGGGGAGGAGGGUCCACUCUGUGCUCCGCAGUCAGUCAAGAACAACACUGAAGUGCUCACCAACUACUGACAACAACAAGCUGCUGGGCUGCGAAGGCCUUGAGUAGACACUGCAACAUGGUGCUGGAGAAUGUGAAGGAGAUGUGUACUGAGGUCCCCAAGGGGGGCAACGGUGGCAAGGGCAAGAAGAAGUCCAAGCCAGCCAACAAAGACCACUUCAUCUCCAAGCUCUUCCUGUGCAGGGACUCAGUCAUCACCAACAAGUGGGGGCCACCUCCCCAUUGACAGAACUCACUCCCUCAUCCUAUGAAGACCUACCCUUUGUUAUGGGGAUAAUAAAGCCCUGUGCUUUUUUUUUUCUAGUAGUAAAAACAAAACAUAACAACAACAAUAAAACUUUAGUCAUUUGGUCAUAUUAGGGAAGUCAUUUAUUAUUCUGUUUCUUCAGAAAUAAAAAACAGAUAACAAA
rnacentral:lncRNA from 1 species